UUCCGGUUGAUCCUGCCGGACCCCACUGCUAUCGGGAUAGGACUAAGACAUGCUAGUCGAGUGACUCAGGCAAAACGAGUCACGGCACACAGCUCAGUAACACGUGGCUAAUCUGCCCUUAGGACGAGAACAACCCCGGGAAACUGGGGCUAACUCUUGAUAGGUGAAGAACUCUGGAAUGAGUCUUCGCCUAAAUAGAUUCACAAGUAUCCUCGUGAAUUUGCCUAAGGAUGAGGCCGCGACCGAUCAGGUUGUUGGCGAGGUAAUGGCUCACCAAGCCUUUUACCGGUGCGGGCCGUGGGAGCGGGAGCCCGGAGAUGGGUACUGAGACAAGGACCCAGGCCCUACGGGGCGCAGCAGUCGCGAAACCUUUGCAAUAAGCGCAAGCUUGACAGGGCUAUCCCGAGUGCCAUCCGCUGAGGAAGGCUUUUACCCAGUCUAGAAAGCUGGGGGAAUAAGGAGAGGGCAAGUCUGGUGUCACCCGCCGCGGUAAUACCAGCUCUCCGAGUGUGUGAUGUUUAUUGGGCCUAAAGCAUCCGAAUGGGUAGCAUCCCUUGUUAAUCCACGAAUUAUCGUG
rnacentral:rRNA from 1 species